UGGGGAAUAUUGCACAAUGGAGGGAACUCUGAUGCAGCGACGCCGCGUGAGUGAUGAAGGAAUUCGUUUCGUAAAACUCUGUUCUAUGGGAAGAAAAGGACUGUACCAUAGGAGAAAGCUCCGGCUAAAUACGUGCCAGCAGCCGCGGUAAUACGUAUGGAGCGCGCGUUGUCCGGAAUUAUUGGGCGUAAAGGGUGCGCAGGCGGCUUUACAAGUUGGAUGUGAAAUAUUGUGGCUCAACCACAAACGUGCAUCCAAAACUUCAAAGCUUGAGUUAGGGAGAGGUAAGUGGAAUUCCUGGUGUAGCGGUGGAAUGCGUAGAUAUCAGGAGGAAUACCGGUGGAGAAGGCGACUGACUGGACUUAAACUGACGCUCGGGCACGAAAGCGUGGGGAGCAAACAGG
rnacentral:rRNA from 1 species